rnacentral:rRNA from 1 species
CACAUGUGACGAGUUUUGAUCCUGGCUCAGAUUGAACGCUGGCGGCAUGGCUAAAACAUGCAAGUCGAACGAUCCCUUCGGGGAGAGUGGCGAAAGGGCGAGGAAUAGAAUCGAAUGUACCCCAAGGUGGGGGAUAGCCUCUGGAAACGGAGGGUAAUACCCCAUGUGCUCUACGGAGGAAAGGUUUACCGCCUUGGGAGCAGCGAUUCUCCUAUCAGGUAGUUGGUGAGGUAACGGCUCACCAAGCCGAAGACGGGUAGCGGGUGUGAGAGCAUGACCCGCCGCAUCGGGACUGAGACACUGCCCGGACUCCUACGGGAGGCUGCAGUAACGAAUCUUCCGCAAUGGGCGAAAGCCUGACGGAGCAAUGCCGCGUGUGGGAUGAAGCAUCUUCGAUGUGUAAACCACUGUCAGGGUCUAGGAAUACUGACCAGACCCAAAGGAAGGCCGGCUAAUUCCGUG